CAGGGCCAAGGGGGAGAAAAGAUGGGGAAUAAUUUAAGUUUUCAUGCUAAUCAAGGCAAAGAGGCUCGAAAUACGGCCCUUAGGCAGGAUGUGGCCAUGGUUUAGUUCCUUUGGGCCACGAGACUUGGUGGUGGGUCCCCAAAGUGGCAUGGCCCAUGUAGCAGGUCCUGUGGUGGUAAUGGGAUGGGUAAACGGGGACCUAAUGCCGGCCCCAAGGGCAUUGACUGCACCUGGGCACGGUGUGGGAGAGCACAAACCUGGGCUGUAAUGACUUGGUGCAGCUGCUUUUAUUCAGGCUGUAAUUAAUGGCACAAAAUCAGAGCAUCCUUCUUUCCUCCAGGAAUACCCGGGCUGUAAAACCCAGCAGUGCGGAAGGUUGAUUUUAACCUUUUCUCCCCGUUAUUCCCCAGCCCACUGACAGAGCCCUGGCUGGCAGGAGGGGAAGCACAUUGAGAAUUAAUCCCUCGCCAGGGGUCGAGGUGCAGCCCCACAGCAGACACCACAGCUUGGGCUUAAUUAGUGAGAGCGGCUGGUGAAGCGCAGUGGGGACGUGGGACCCCGUCACCCACAUUCAUGGGGACUGGGGAUGGCCACGGCACAACGAACGUCGCACGGUGGUGGCCAGGAGGCUUCUUUCCUUCUGGCAGAGGCACAGAAACCCCCGCUGGUGCCUGCCCACCAAAGCGUGCGUCUCUGGUUCAAAUGUGUCUGGCAUCCAUCUUAUUCCUCCCCCUCCUCUCGCAUCUCUCCUGGGCUGCCAUGGUUACCUCUGCAGGACUGACCCAGCCAGAAGAAACGCUAUUUAUUUUCCUUCUUUCUGUGCAGAAUGAACAAACACUUAUUUUGCCAGUUUAAUUAAGACUUUUCACUAAAAAAAAAAUCCCCCCUUCCCCCUCGGUGUGUUUAUUUUUCCAGCAGGCACAAGCUGUUUGUAAGAAAGACGUGAAUCAGUUUUCAGUUGCUGGACUGGAGCUGCGAAAAGUUUUCCUGCCCGAAAUGACAAGAGGAAAAAGCAGCCCCCUCCCAGGUCCUGAAUCACCUCACACUGCUGUGCUUUUCAUACGGCUCCUGCUGCAGCAGCUUUCGGCUCCGUCUCGAGGCAGCCUGCAGAGGAGGACGGCACGAUUUCUGCUUUGCAUAAAGGGAAAGUGAGGCACCAAGCCAGGAACAAGCCAGAACCAUCCGUCAGAGGCAGGGCCAGCCAGGAGCCCUCCACUUCUGUCAAUUUAGGCAGCACGGAGAGGUUUCCAUGAGGGGCUCCGAGCACUGGGGUUUGUUUGGCCCAAUUGAGGACCAGCUGCUAUGAGGCAGCUACCGUGGCUGACACAGGCUGCCUCACACUUCACAUUUAAAUAUUUCCUGAAGACCUUGAGAAGUAAAAAACCUCUCUGCUGAAUCUGACUGUGUGUAUAGUGAGGGGUGAGGCCCUGGGGAAGCUUUUCUCCCCUCAAAUCCUGUCAGUGAGCGCACGGCCCCGGUGCUGCAGGGCCUCGCUCUUCGCACUGUGGCAGGCCCCGAAGCAACCUCCUCGUGAUAAAAUGAUCGUGACACUGCCUGUGACUUCCACAGCAGCUCCUUCACGUGGAUUUACAAACCCUCAGCCGCUUCAGCAAGCAGAAACCACCAUCGUCAUGUCUGCACACUGGCACACCACCGGGCUGCCCGUGCUUCACAAAGGUGGAUGCAACGAGCGUAAUGCACAGGCUCGGGCCUGAGGCUCUGGGUUCUUAGGGUGACAACUUAAAUCCCCUAUAAAUACAAAUUUGAGCUGGACUGGUUAACAAGGAGAAAGACUCCCAAGGAUUCUCAAACUACAAGGCCCACGCUUCCUCCUCCUUCUCCCCGGCCUACUCAGCUCAGCCGAGUUUCUCGCACGGCCUUUGUGUGUGGAGAAAAAUCUUCCUCGAGAGUUAAUUACAAGGUGAAAUAUGCCCGAUUCUUUUAUUCCAUUUUCGAGUGAUGAUAAAGAAGCUGAAGCACCACAAACGUUGUAAACUCUUAUUAGGAUUAAUGCUCCUGCAACUGAGGCUUUUAUCACCUUAAUGACGCUAUUUCUCUCACGCCCAUGACACACACACAAAGCAGAGGUAUGGAUGCUGGAGUCUCUACACCCAACCACCCAGGAAUCCCUAAUGUGUAGGAAAUACGGUGUGGAGACGGCAACAGCAAAUAGUUUUUAUUACAGACCUCUUCUUCCACUGCCUUAAUCUCCCCAAAGCUAUAAACUGAAGUUGUUAUAUCUUACAAACGUGUAGAUGCACACACAGGCAGAUGUGGAAGAGGCAUGCGGAUGCUUUUAUAAACCACAGAAUGUGCUUCCUCCUUGGCAUUACUAUGCUUUUUUAUUUUUAACACCAAAUAAAUACAAAGCAAUUCCAUAAAAAAAAAAAAAAAAA